rnacentral:lncRNA from 1 species
GGCAGCUAGAGAGGGAUGCUGGGUCUGGGGCUUGCAAUCAAGUGCCGCAGCCGGAAUCAUCAAGCUUGAAGGAGUGACACAAAGGCCUGGGGCCACUGAAGAUGACCCACGGGUGCCUCUGCCAAGGCCAGUCCAGGACAGUGGUGUUGAGCGUCCAGAGCCACCAGGGUGGCACCAAGAUGAUGGUCCCCCAGGAGCCACCUCUGCUCAGCCUGGCCUUGUCUGCUUCCACGGCAAUGUGGUUCCUUCCCAUCUGUCCAUGCCAUGAGCUGCCUGUCCUUUCAAAUAUUUCCACUCUCAAGGGAUUUUGCAGCCAUCCCUGGAUCUCCUUCCUGCUGGACUAAUAGCUCAGAGGGCAUGCCCAUCUUUAACCCUAACCCCCAUUUCUCCCAGAUCCAAUGAUGUUACAGUUGAAUGAUAUCCCCUCAAAAAGAUAUGUUGACAUCCUAAUCCCUGGUACCUCAAAGUGUGGUGUUAUCUGUAAACAGCGUCUUUGCAGACAUAGUUAAGAGUUGUACUGGAGUACCAUGGACCCCUAAUCCAAUGCAAUUAGUGUCCUUGUAAGAAGACAGCCAUGUGAGGACACAGGCAGCUGAAUAAAGGAAUGACUGCCUACACAGAGGAACUAAAACUCCUCCACCCUGGCAGGGGCAAGAGAGGGAGUGGCAGGGCUGGAAACAGUAAACACA